UACGAAGGGGGGCUAGCGUUGCUCGGAAUCACUGGGCGUAAAGCGCACGUAGGCGGACUCUUAAGUCGGUGGUGAAAUCCUGGAGCUCAACUCCAGAACUGCCUUCGAUACUGAGAGUCUCGAGUCCGAGAGAGGUGAGUGGAACUGCGAGUGUAGAGGUGAAAUUCGUAGAUAUUCGCAAGAACACCAGUGGCGAAGGCGGCUCACUGGCUCGGUACUGACGCUGAGGUGCGAAAGCGUGGGGAGCAAACAGG
rnacentral:rRNA from 1 species